CAGCCCUCACCGCGUCCCGGACCCAGAGCCCUGCACCUCGGGCGCAGACUGGCUGCCAAGGCCACGCUUUUGGCUAAAAGAGGCGCUGCCAGGUGCACAGCCCUGGGCAUGAGCCUUUUAAGCUGCGGGGGAAAGCCCAGGAAAGGUGCCUAGAAGAACACGGAGCAGGACCCCUGUGAGAUGGAGCCCGGAUAUGGAGGCCCUUCUGUGCUGCC